rnacentral:rRNA from 1 species
UAGGUGGCGAGCGUUAUCCGGAAUUAUUGGGCGUAAAGAGGGAGCAGGCGGCACUAAGGGUCUGUGGUGAAAGCCCGAAGCUUAACUUCGGUAAGCCAUGGAAACCGUAGAGCUAGAGUGUGUGAGAGGAUCGUGGAAUUCCAUGUGUAGCGGUGAAAUGCGUAGAUAUAUGGAGGAACACCAGUGGCGAAGGCGACGAUCUGGCGCACAACUGACGCUCAGUCCCGAAAGCGUGGGGAGCAAA